CUACGGGGGGCAGCAGUGAGGAAUAUUGGUCAAUGGACGCAAGUCUGAACCAGCCAUGCCGCGUGCAGGAUGACAGCCUUAUGGGUUGUAAACUGCCUUUAUACGGGAAUAAACUUAGUUACGUGUAACUAACUGCAGGUACCGUAUGAAUAAGCAUCGGCUAACUCCGUGCCAGCAGCCGCGGUAAUACGGAGGAUGCAAGCGUUAUCCGGAUUCAUUGGGUUUAAAGGGUCCGCAGGCGGAAUAGUAAGUCAGUGGUGAAAUCUCUCGGCUCAACCGGGAAACUGCCAUUGAUACUGCUAAUCUAGAGUAUAUUUGGCGUAGGCGGAAUGUAUCAUGUAGCGGUGAAAUGCUUAGAUAUGAUACAGAACACCGAUCGCGAAGGCAGCUUACGAAGCUAUAACUGACGCUCAGGGACGAAAGCGUGGGGAGCAAACAGGAUUAGAUACCCUCGUAGUC
rnacentral:rRNA from 1 species